UGGGGAAUAUUGCACAAUGGGCGCAAGCCUGAUGCAGCCAUGCCGCGUGUGUGAAGAAGGCCUUCGGGUUGUAAAGCACUUUCAGCGAGGAGGAAGGUGGUGAGCUUAAUAUGCUCAUCAAUUGACGUUACUCGCAGAAGAAGCACCGGCUAACUCCGUGCCAGCAGCCGCGGUAAUACGGAGGGUGCAAGCGUUAAUCGGAAUUACUGGGCGUAAAGCGCACGCAGGCGGUUUGUUAAGUCAGAUGUGAAAUCCCCGGGCUCAACCUGGGAACUGCAUUUGAAACUGGCAAGCUAGAGUCUCGUAGAGGGGGGUAGAAUUCCAGGUGUAGCGGUGAAAUGCGUAGAGAUCUGGAGGAAUACCGGUGGCGAAGGCGGCCCCCUGGACGAAGACUGACGCUCAGGUGCGAAAGCGUGGGGCAGCAAACAGGAUUAGAUACCCUGGUAGUCCACGCUGUAAAACGAUGUCGAUUUUGGAGGUUGUGCCCUUGAGGCGUGGCUUCCGGAGCUAACGCGUUAAAUCGACCGCCUGGGGAGUACGGCCGCAAGG
rnacentral:rRNA from 1 species